CUGACCAGAAAAAUGGAAUAGCAUUAGAGACGUGAAUGCUAUUACUUGCAUUUACUCUUUAUAGAUAGCAAUUACUGGUUUUAGUUAGUGAUUGUUUCACCAAAAGUCCAGGAAUAAUAAAAAGUUCUGUAUUUUAUAUUAUAAUCUUUUCCUAAAUUAUAUAUAUUGUAUAUUUCAUGUUGCAGUAAAUAAAAAUGGUGGAACAGAGUUUAGCCAGUGCAAACUUGUUUCAUAUUGGCCAACGUGUGUGAAGCUAAAGGCUGUUUUCCAUCACAGCCCCAGUUCUUCUAGCAUCAUCUGCACUUGGUCUCCAGCUGAAAGUUGCAAAAAAUGAGAACUCACUUGAUGGAACUCCAUUUUUCUAGACAAGUACAUAGUCCAUCUUAUUCUGUUUACUCACCAGUGCUAGAAUUGCUUUAGAUCAAGUGGUAGCCAGGAACCACGCCGCCUAUUUUGGAGACUAUAUCCUCCCAACCUUGGCCAAUGACAAAGAAAUCCAAAGGUCAGCCCUUUU